UACAGAGGGUGCGAGCGUUAAUCGGAAUUACUGGGCGUAAAGCGCACGUAGGUGGCGACGUAAGUCGGGUGUGAAAGCCCCGGGCUCAACCUGGGAAUUGCAUUCGAGACUGCAUUGCUGGAGUACGGAAGAGGAAGGCGGAAUUCCCGGUGUAGCGGUGAAAUGCGUAGAUAUCGGGAGGAACAUCAGUGGCGAAGGCGGCCUUCUGGUCCAGUACUGACACUCAAGUGCGAAAGCGUGGGGAGCAAAC
rnacentral:rRNA from 1 species